GGCUCCAGGGAAACUGCAACCCUGCUGAGAUCAGCCAGGCUCUUUGAGGUCUGGGAAUGCAGGCUAUGCCCAGGGCUCCUCUCCAAGUGGUCCUAUUACUGGGCACUCCUCCAGCCCAGCUCCCCGCCCUGGCCUGGCCCCACCCAGUCCAGUCUGAUUGCUUCCUGCCAGCCCCGCUUAUGAUUCAUGGGCCUGACCUUGGGCUAUAAAGUGUUCACUUUAGCAGGAAUAGAGGCAGGAUUUACAGCCCUAGGGUCAGCUGUAGGCAAUGACACACACAAUAGCUGACUCACAAGGGUGCCCCGUUCCCAUCCCACACAUAACUUUCCUUUGCACACACAGGUACACACACACACAUUUUGACAGAGACACGCGUGCACUCCCAUGCCCCAGAGCUCUCUGCCUCAUGCAUCCGGUAAUGCGAGUCCCCUUUGUGGAGCAAGCGCUGUACAUAAGAUGCUUUACAAGCAUUUGUCUAAUCCUUAACAUUGAUCCCGUAAGGUCGGAGCUGGUGUUACUCAUUUUAUAGGAGAGGAAGCACGUUAAGGCUCAGGCGGGUUAUGUGAUCUGAGCGUUUGUACCUACAAGAGUACCUACAAGCUGGACAGAGAACCUCACGCCCCAAACUCCAAGCUAGGGAAAUAGUGAUUCCAUGGAAGGGCUGGGCUGCAGCAGCCUGGGGUGGGGUCAGAGAGACCAGCUCAUUCCCUCUCCCUCUUCCCCAUCAGAGGAGCUGAGGCUGGUUCAGAGGAAGAGUGACUAUUCCAGAGGAUAUUAGAAGGGGGAAUAAAAAACCAGGAGAGGAACGCCUUAACCCAGAUAUGAGAAUGGGAUGUCGCACUACAUAAACUUUUUAAAACCAGAAGUAAUUGGGAAACAGAGGGAGAAUUUGCCCAUAUUGUUCAAGUUUCAACCAUGCAUCCAAGAAAGGGUAUUUGACAGGAUGUAGUUGGUAGAGAUUGGAGGGGGUGAGCAUUUCAAUUUGUACCUCUCUAGUUUAGCUAUUCCAUGAACUCUUUUUAUUAUCAUUAUUGUCAUUUUUACUCUGUUGCUGAGAUGUCCAUGUACAAGAAAUCCUCCCUCCCCCAACUCCUCUUCAGGUCAAAUGCCAUUUGCCUCUACUUGGCUCCUUCCAUCUACGAGGCCUCAGAGUCUCUGCCUUUUCUUCCAAACCAGCGCCUCUUGUCCUCUAGAGCCAUCCCCUCAGUCUUCAGCAGGGACUUCACCCUCACAUCUACUUCUCUGGCUCUUGUGCGUUGUCCCUAGCUAGUCCUUUCUCUUCUUUUCAAACUCCUGUGUAACUUCUCUCUUAAAGUAGCCAGCCAGGGACUUCCCUAACGGUCCAGUGAUUGAGAAUCUGCCUUCCAAUGCAGGGGACGCAGGUUUGAUCCCUGGUUGGGGAACUAAGAUCCUACACACCAUGGGCCAGCUGAGCCGGUGCACCACACCAGAGAGCCUGCUCGCUCUAGAGUCUGUGCUCCGCAACAAGAGAAGACCAUAUUGCAACUAGAGAAAGACUGUGCCCUCAACCAAGAGCCCACAUGCCGCAAGGAAGACCCAGUGCAGCCAAAACUAAAAAAAAAAAAUAAUGACCAGGCCUUCCCAUGAUCUUUUUCCCUCUCUAAUUUCUUUCUGUCUUCUCAUCUUCCUCCUGGAAUAAGGGGCCUCGUGGGCUCCUUCUCACAGCAUCCUUGUCUCUUCCUCAAGGCUCCUGCUCUGUCCUCUCCCUAUCCCUCCCUCCUCUUCAGCAGACGUGACUCCAGUACAUUGUCACCUCUUCCCAGUUCCUCUGACUUGAAGCUCACUCCUGUGCCCUUUGCUCUGGGAGAAUCUAUCUUCUCACGCUUGAGGACUUCAACUUCCCCUCCCAGAUGUGCCUCCAAUUAGAUGUCUAUCCUAAACUCCAUCUGAAUUGUCAACUGCCCAAAGGAGGUAUCUUUGUGGAAGCUCUGCUUUCCCCUCAAACGAAAUACUCUCUAAGUGGAAAUAAUUAUCUUCUCUUCAAAAUGGCUUCCUUUCCUCCCCUUCAUUUCUAUCUAUUAAAUAACUACUGUUCUGAUCCUCUAGCCUCCCUAAACCCAGAGCAAAUUGAUUCAAUGAACACACUGAGCAAAGAUUUUCCAGGUAAUCACCAUGUGCAAGCUCCAGUAUUUUGGCCACAUGAUGUGAAGAGCCAACUCAUUGGAAAAGACCCUGAUGCUGUGUUUGGAAGAGAGCUGGGUCUACAGAGAAAGGAUCAUUGUCGGAGCCAGGCCUUGGAGGGGACAUGAGUAAAUUGGACCCCAAACACCAGAAGAGGGAACAAUUCCUGCCCAUAAGGGUUAUUCAUCUGUUGGAGGGACAGAUGGGUUAAACAGACAAUGGCAAACUUACUAGGGAAGAACUGAGCUACAGAGAGCACCAGCGGCUGGGAAGCCAGGAGAAGGGAAAUGUCCCCUUACAACCAUCUUUGCUUACAGCCAGUUGGCCUGGAGGGCAGCUCAGUCGGUAAAGAAUCUGCCUGCAAUGCAGGAGACCUGUGUUGGAUCCCUGGGUCUG